rnacentral:rRNA from 1 species
AGCGAACGUUAGCGGCACGCCUAACACAUGCAAGUCGCACGAGAGGGGGGCAACCCCUGAAAGUGGCGCACGGGUGCGUAACACGUAGAUAACCUGCCCUGAAGAGGGGGAUAACGUUCCGAAAGGAGCGCUAAUACCGCAUAACGCUGCGACUGGUUUGCCAGUUGCGGACAAAGGUAGGGACCGGCAACGGCCUAUCACUUCAGGAGGGGUCUGCGGCCCAUCAGCUAGUUGGUGAGGUAAUGGCUCACCAAGGCAGAGACGGGUAGCUGGUCUGAGAGGAUGAUCAGCCACACUGGUACUGGAACACGGACCAGACUCCUACGGGAGGCAGCAGUGGGGAAUCUUGGUCAAUGGGCGCAAGCCUGAACCAGCGAUGCCGCGUGAGUGAUGAAGGCCUUCGGGUUGUAAAGCUCCGUGGGGAGGGGAGAAAAAGCACGUUCUAACAGGACGUGUGUUGACGGUACCUCCUUAGCAAGCACCGGCUAACUCUGUGCCAGCCGCCGCCGUAAAAC